rnacentral:lncRNA from 1 species
GGCGAAGAGCAAGGAGUUUCCCUUCUUCAGUUCCAGCAAAAACCAGCUUUUGUUUGACUGUUUCAGACGCUGUGUUCCUAUAUGGAAUAAUAAAAGGUAAGAUCCUUUUGGUGCAAGUAACGUUGUGAAGCAUCUAUAAUUAUCUUUAGUAACAUGGUUACUAUACUCACUUUCGGCCAAUAAUCACACGAACAGCAUCAUGCAUUAUGGAACGUGCGAGUUCCUCAACAGAAUCGGGUAAAGUAGCACUGAACAAUGAGCGUAUGAUCGAAGGAUUUGAACAAGCCUUAACCACACAAUCUAUCUGCUUUAACAAGCUCUGCUCAAACAGCUUAUCAGAUUCAUCAAGGACAAGGUACUCGACCCUGUAUUCAACAGAGGUUAAGAUGAAUAUGGUCACAACAAAAUAUAAAUACACAUGUUUAUAUUCUAAUAUAUGCUAUUGACUUACUUGCUUAAGUCAAUUUUUUUAGCCUUGAUGGCUCUCUUCAGCCGCAUCGGCGUUGAUAUGAGAACAUCACAAUGCAGCUUUGAGAAAUCAGCUGUUUUCACAAGGGGUUUAGUCAUCAAU